UACUGGCAGGAUCAACCAGGUAGCAUUCCUUCGCGACAUCGAUGCCCGCAUGAGGCCCGACAAGCCGUGCGGCCAUUGGACACUCAAGACGGGAGCGACAGUCGUUCGCGUCAAUGGACAAAAUGCAUUGCUUGGGCAAACAAAGGCCGAGAGACCCUGUACCCACACAUAACAUUCUGCAUCCGAGAGUACGGGCAGAGCACCUCAUGGGCCAAGGCAACCACGCAAGUUGGCGAGGCAUGCCAGGAACACAAGGCUCGCCUUACGUCCACCCCACCACCCGUGAGGGCAUGGGGCGGAGAGGGACAAACGAAACCAUCAAAUUCCUUUCCGUAGGUAAG
rnacentral:misc_RNA from 1 species